rnacentral:rRNA from 1 species
GAUGAACGCUGGCGGCGUGCCUAAUACAUGCAAGUCGAGCGAACAGACGAGGAUUUUGCUCCUCUGACGUUAGCGGCGGACGGGUGAGUAACACGUGUAUAACCUACCUAUAAGACUGGGAUAACUUCAGGAGACCGGAUCUAAUACCCGAUAAUAUAUUGAACCUCAUGGUUCAAUAGUUAAAAACGUUUUUGCUGUCACUUAUAGAUGUACCCGCGCCGCAUUGGUUAAUUGGUAGGGAAACGACUUACCAAGACAACGCUGGGUAGCCGACCGGAGGGGUGGUCCGCCACACUGGAACCGAGAAACGGUCCCGAAUCCUAAGGGGAGCAGCAGUGAGGAAUAUUGCCGAAUGGGGGAAAGGCUUAUCGAGGCAAGCCGGGGGUGGGAAGAAAGUCUUCGGAUUGGAAAACACUUUAUUUUGGGAAGAAGAAAAGUGAGAGAAUACCUUGCAGUUUUGACGGGACCAAAAGAAGAAGCCCCGGCUAACUUCGUG